rnacentral:rRNA from 1 species
CACGGAACUCUUYGGAGGGAAGUGAAGGGAAUGAGCGGCGGACGGGUGAGUAACACGUAAGGAACCUGCCCCAAGGAUUGGGAUAACUCCGAGAAAUCGGAGCUAAUACCGAAUAGUUCUUCAGACCGCAUGGUCUGAUGAUGAAAGGCGCUYCGGCGUCACCUUGGGAUGGCCUUGCGGUGCAUUAGCUAGUUGGUGGGGUAAUGGCCCACCAAGGCGACRAUGCAUAGCCGACCUGAGAGGGUGAUCGGCCACACUGGGACUGAGACACGGCCCAGACUCCUACGGGAGGCAGCAGUAGGGAAUCUUCCACAAUGGACGAAAGUCUGAUGGAGCAACGCCGCGUGAGUGAUGAAGGUUUUCGGAUCGUAAAACUCUGUUGUAAGGGAAGAACAGGURUGAGAGGUAAUGCUCAUGCUAUGACGGUACCUURCGAGAAAGCCACGGCUAACUACGUGCCAGCAGCCGCGGUAAUACGUAGGUGGCAAGCGUUGUCCGGAAUUAUUGGGCGUAAAGCGCGCGCAGGCGGCCUUUUAAGUCUGAUGUGAAAGCCCCCGGCUCAACCGGGGAGGGUCAUUGGAAACUGGAAGGCUUGAGUACAGAAGAGAAGAGUGGAAUUCCAUGUGUAGCGGUGAAAUGCGUAGAGAUGUGGAGGAACACCAGUGGCGAAGGCGACUCUUUGGUCUGUAACUGACGCUGAGGCGCGAAAGCGUGGGGAGCAAACAGGAUUAGAUACCCUGGUAGUCCACGCCGUAAACGAUGAGUGCUAGGUGUUGGGGGGGUUUCCGCCCCUCAGUGCUGAAGCUAACGCAUUAAGCACUCCGCCUGGGGAGUACGGCCGC